rnacentral:rRNA from 1 species
UACGAAGGGGGCUAGCGUUGCUCGGAAUCACUGGGCGUAAAGGGUGCGUAGGCGGGUCUUUAAGUCAGGGGUGAAAUCCUGGAGCUCAACUCCAGAACUGCCUUUGAUACUGAAGAUCUUGAGUUCGGGAGAGGUGAGUGGAACUGCGAGUGUAGAGGUGAAAUUCGUAGAUAUUCGCAAGAACACCAGUGGCGAAGGCGGCUCACUGGCCCGAUACUGACGCUGAGGCACGAAAGCGUGGGGAAGCCAAACAGG